UUCGUAUCUUCCUUCCGUUUUUGUACACUCGUUUUUUUUUUCCUCUUCUUCCAGUCUUCUUCCUCGUCGCCGUUGUUUCCUUGGAAUGUAAAGAAAAACAACGACGAGGGAAAACAUGUCAAAAAGUACAAAAAAA
rnacentral:ribozyme from 12 species